UGCAGCCACGUGGGCGGAUGGGUGCCCUCGUUUACAGCAUGGGUGAAGGCGGUCAAAGUGCGUAUCUACACCAGGCAUGGGCAAGCUUAGGCCCUCCAGGUGUUUUGGACUUCAUCUCCCACAAUUCCUAACAGCCGGUAGGCUGUUAGGAAUUGUGGGAGAUGAAGUCCAAAACACCUGGAGGGCCCAAGCAUGACCAUGUUCCAGAAGCAUUCUUUCCUGACGUUUCGCCUGCAUCUAUGAUUGUGCAUAAGGCUUACUGUAUUUCUAACCUCUGCACUGUAAGCAUGUUGUUGAGUCAAGAGCGAAGCAGUCAGCAGCCAAGCAGAGCAGAGAAGUGCUUCCCCAGAUGAGGAAAAGACUGUAGAAAUUCCAGUGAGGUUAUUAGAAGAAAUUCAGGAAUACUCCAGUCUCUGAAGGUAUAAAAGGUAAAGGUUUGCCCUGACGUUAAGUCCAGCCAUGUCUGACUCUGCAGGUUGGUGCUCAUCUCCAUUUCUAAGCUGAAGAGCUGGCAUUGUCCGUAGACACCUCCAAGGUCAUGUGGCUGGCAUGACUGCAUGGAGCGCUGUUACCUUCCCGCCGGAGCGGUACCUAUUGAUCUACUCACAUUGGCAUAUUUUCGAACUGCUAGGUUGGCAGAAGCUGGAGCUAACAGCGGGCGCUCACUCCGCUCCCCGGGUUUGAACCUGGGACCUUUCAGUCUGCAAGUUCAGCAGCUCAGCGCUUUAACACACUGAGUCACUGGAGGCUCCUCUGAAGGUAUAGGUAACCAAAAAUGUGGCACAAAUUAAUGCUAGAUAUCCAUCUCUUUCGAGGUUCUGUUUUUACAUGAGUGAUGUAUCAGCAGGCAGGCCUAUUACUAUGCACAUAUACUUUAGCACAUCUUCACUAUUUUAUUUCUUGUCAAUGUCAAUUUAUCAACACAUCUAAAUUAAAAAGUUAAUUACCUUACUUGUGAUAUAGUUUAA